GGUAAUCAAAUGGGCACUCAUGUUUGUCUGAGUAGCGAUGUGAUCCGCAGAAGAGGUUACCGCAGCGACAUUUAAAGCCAGUUAAUCCAACCCGUUUCUUGCAAGUGCUGCAUCGACUAGGACCUUCUUUGGCCUUUGUUUCAUCAGUUUCACCAGAGCCUGAAACAAUAGGUGAAGGCAGAGAUAUGAUCUUUGGCUCUGGAAGAUCAACUUGCAUACUCACAGUUCCUGCAGCAACAGGUUCUUUCUCACAGCCACUCGAUGACCCAUUUAUAAUAUUUUCAAUGGAUGUUGCUGCAAGUGUAGCCUGCUCUCGUUUCAUAAC
rnacentral:lncRNA from 1 species